UGGGGAAUUUUGCACAAUGGGGGAAACCCUGAUGCAGCGACGCCGCGUGAUUUAGAAGGCCUUCGGGUUGUAAAAAUCUUUUCUAUGGGAAGAAAAUGACAGUACCAUAGGAAUAAGGACCGGCUAAUUACGUGCCAGCAGCCGCGGUAAUACGUAAGGUCCGAGCGUUGUCCGGAAUCAUUGGGCGUAAAGGGUACGUAGGCGGGUAAGCAAGUUAGAAGUGAAAUCCUGUAGCUCAACUACAGUAAGCUUUUAAAACUGCUCAUCUUGAGAUAUGGAAGGGAAAGUGGAAUUCCUAGUGUAGCGGUGAAAUGCGCAGAUAUUAGGAGGAAUACCGGUGGCGAAGGCUACUUUCUGGCCAUAAUCUGACGCUGAUGUACGAAAGCGUUGGUAGCAAACAGG
rnacentral:rRNA from 1 species